GAGAAGGCAGGAGAGAGAGAGAGCGACAGGGCAGGAGAGAAGGCAGGAGAGAGAGAGCGACAGGGCAGGAGAGAGAGAGACAGGGCAGGAGAGAGACAAAGGGGGAGAGGGAGAGCACAAUAAAUCUGAGAGAGGAAAAGGCAUUCCUACACGACUGACCAUGAGAAUGAUAAACUCCACUAACUCCUCACAGGAUUCAUGGAGAUACGAGUGGGAAUAUUACUACGAUUACCUAGACCCAAUACCAGUGGACGAGCGCAAACUGAAAUAUAACAAGUACUUGAUAGUGAUCGUAUUCUGGAUCAGUCUGGCUGCUUUUGUGGGAUUCCUGUUUGCCAUUUUGACUUUCAUGUCCCGUUCAGUCAGUCUACCCAAAGCUCAUAGUUCCAAAACGGCCAAGAAAUCGUGGAGGAACCCUAGAUCCAAUUCUGCUUGAUGGAGUAUACUUGAUCUGUUUUCUGCUUGAUCCCCAAACCCCUCUGAAAGACACACACACACACGUUGGGAGCACAAGGCAGCCAGUGCAGAGCCCAAAGAGCCAUUUUUUAGGGGUUAAGUGCCUCAAAUAAGGACACACUGCCAGGAUAUGGCAUUUGGAACACCACUGCUGUGGUCUGAUGGGGCGUUUCUCAACUAUUCAGAACUAUUAUAAAACAUCUGUGUGGAACAUCGACUUACCUGCAAUGUAAUGGCCUGGUUACAAAGUAGGAUUUCCAUGUUUCUAUUCAAAUACAAGACGACACCAAAAUAGUUUUACAACAUUUUAUAAAAGAGCGAAGUGAAUGUUUUGAACAAACAAAAAUAAUGUAAUGUAAUGAUUCACAUACAAAACACACAACUUCUUUUAGAAAAUUUAGAUGCAAAAUAACGGAGGCUUCCAUUUUAUGAGUAAACACCGUUUUCAAAUGUGUACAAGUAUGCAUACUGUAUUCUGACUUGAGAUUCUCAGAAAAUGUCCUCUUCUCACUAGACGUUCAACUCAAAUGUCAUGAGUUGUGCACACUUAUCUCAACUCUGAAUCUACUGUAUGGAACUGCUCUCUAUACACACACACACACACACACACACACACACACACACACACACACACACACACACACACACACACACACACACACACACACACACACACACACACAGAGUAUAGCAAACAUUAGGAACACCUUCCUAACAUAGAGCUUCUUUAAUCUGCCUCCUCCUCUUCAUCUACACUGAUUUAACCUGCCUCCUCCCCUUCAUCUACACUGGUUUAGCCUGUCUCCUCCCCUUCAUCUACACCGGUUUAGCCUGUCUCCUCCCCUUCAUCUACACUGGUUUAGCCUGUCUCCUCCCCUUCAUCUACACUGGUUUAGCCUGUCUCCUCCCCUUCAUCUACACUGGUUGAAGUUGAUUUAACAGGUGCCAUCCAAUAAGGGAUCAUAUCUUUCACCUGGUCAUCUAUGUCAUGGGAAGAGCAGGUGUUCUUAAUGUUUUGUACACUCAGUGUGGUUCACUACUUUUUGACCAGAGACCACGGGCCCUGGUUAAGAAAUAGCAUACUCAAUAGGGUGUAAUGUGGGCCACAGCUAUUUAACACCUAUGGUGCAACAGUAGACUGCAGUCCUGAGAGGAGGUCACUACAGAUGGUUCUGAGGGCUGUGUGUGUCUGGGAACGUCGUUUGGACUUCUUCUUCUGGUCCUUGGUUCCUAUAGAGCCCUGGAUCUCAUUCGCCAAUCUGACAUGGUUCAGGAACAGCUCUGGGCUCUUCGCUCCACUCCACAUCUCAUGGAUGUACAGAGACAGCAACAUCAGACCUUCUGAAGGAGGAGAUCAAGAUAAACAACAACAAUGUAUGAGACGUGUCAUUUCCUUCCAUUUCCAAGCAACGCAAGAGACGCAACUAGUUUCAAUGUAAAACUAUUUUUCCUGGGAAUUUGUAGCUAUAUCUGAUGUUAUUUUUUACAAAUCACUGCAAUCUCCCCUGUUACGAUACAAUAAAUAUUGAAGAUAAAGUU